rnacentral:lncRNA from 1 species
CGACUCCUUCCUGUGUUGCUGGAACAGAGUUCUAUAAGCUAAUAGAGGCAAGCUGUGAGCGACAGAUUGCAACUUGGAAACCAGAUCAUGACCAAUAGCUCAGCUGCCUGGUGAUGAG